rnacentral:rRNA from 1 species
UACAGAGGUCUCAAGCGUUGUUCGGAUUCAUUGGGCGUAAAGGGCGCGUAGGCGGCGGGGUAAGUCGGGUGUGAAAUCUCAGGGCUCAACCCUGAAACUGCAUUCGAUACUGCGGUGCUUGAGGACUGGAGAGGAGACUGGAAUUUACGGUGUAGCAGUGAAAUGCGUAGAGAUCGUAAGGAAGACCAGUGGCGAAGGCGGCGACCUGGACAGAUACUGACACUCAACUGCGAAAGCGUGGGGAGCAAACAGG